rnacentral:rRNA from 1 species
CGUACACUCCUACGGGAGGCAGCAGUGGGGAAUAUUGCACAAUGGGCGCAAGCCUGAUGCAGCCAUGCCGCGUGUAUGAAGAAGGCCUUCGGGUUGUAAAGUACUUUCAGCGGGGAGGAAGGCAAUACGGUUAAUAACCGUGUUGAUUGACGUUACCCGCAGAAGAAGCACCGGCUAACUCCGUGCCAGCAGCCGCGGUAAUACGGAGGGUGCAAGCGUUAAUCGGAAUUACUGGGCGUAAAGCGCACGCAGGCGGUCUGUCAAGUCGGAUGUGAAAUCCCCGGGCUCAACCUGGGAACUGCAUUCGAAACUGGCAGGCUUGAGUCUUGUAGAGGGGGGUAGAAUUCCAGGUGUAGCGGUGAAAUGCGUAGAGAUCUGGAGGAAUACCGGUGGCGAAGGCGGCCCCCUGGACAAAGACUGACGCUCAGGUGCGAAAGCGUGGGGAGCAAACAGGAUUAGAUACCCCGGUAGUCCCA